rnacentral:rRNA from 1 species
AGGCAGACGGCUCAGUAACGCGUAGUCAACCUACCCUAUGGACGGGAAUAAUCUCGGGAAACUGAGCAUAAUACCCGGCGUACCACCAUUCCUGGAAUGGUUGGCGGUUAAAAUGAUUCGUCGCCGUAGGAUGGGACUGCGACCUAUCAGCUUGUUGGUGAGGUAAAGGCCCACCAAGGCGAUUACAGGUACGGGCUCUGAGAGGAGAAGCCCGGAGAUGGGUACUGAGACACGGACCCAGGCCCUAUGGGGCGCAGCAGGCGAGAAAACUUUGCAAUGCGCGAAAGCACGACAAGGUUAAUCCGAGUGAUUUCUGCUAAAGGAAUCUUUUGCCAGUUCUAAAAAUACUAGUGAAUAAGGGGUGGGCAAGUUCUGGUGUCAGCCGCCGCGGUAAAACCAGCACCUCAAGUGGUCAGGAGGAUUAUUGGGCCUGAAGCAUCCGUAGCCUGCUCUGUAAGUUUUCGGUUAAAUCUAUAUGCUCAACGUAUAGGCUGCCGAAAAUACUGCAGUGCUAGGAAGUGGGAGAGGUAGACGGUACUUGAUAGGAAGGGGUAAAAUCCUUUGAUCUAUCGAUGACCACCUGUGGCGAAGGCGGUCUACCAGAACA